GCAGUGGUGGUUCAGUGGUGAAAUUCUCAUCUUCCAUGCCGGAGAUCUGGGUUUGAUUCCCAGCCAAUGCA
rfam:Loxodonta africana unplaced genomic scaffold scaffold_28, whole genome shotgun sequence.